CCUACGGGGGGCUGCAGUGAGGAAUCUUGCACAAUGGGCGAAAGCCUGAUGCAGCGACGCCGCGUGUGGGACGAAGGCCUUCGGGUUGUAAACCACUGUCAGUGGGGAAGAAGUAUGACGGUACCCACUGAGGAAGCUUCGGCUAACUACGUGCCAGCAGCCGCGGUAAGACGUAGGGAGCGAGCGUUGCCCGGAAUUACUGGGCGUAAAGAGCUCGUAGGCGGGGGCGUGCGUCCGAAAGGAAAUCUCAGGGCUCAACCCUGGGGCUUUUUCGG
rnacentral:rRNA from 1 species